UACGUAGGGUGCAAGCGUUGUCCGGAAUUAUUGGGCGUAAAGAGCGCGUAGGCGGCCCUGUAAGUCCGCUGUGAAAGUCAAGGGCUCAACCCUUGGAUGCCGGUGGAUACUGCAGGGCUAGAGUCCGGAAGAGGCGAGUGGAAUUCCUGGUGUAGCGGUGAAAUGCGCAGAUAUCAGGAGGAACACCGAUGGCGAAGGCAGCUCGCUGGGACGGUACUGGACGCUGAGGCGCGAAAGCGUGGGGAGCAAACAGG
rnacentral:rRNA from 1 species